rnacentral:rRNA from 1 species
UACGGAGGGUGCAAGCGUUAUCCGGAUUCACUGGGUUUAAAGGGUGCGUAGGCGGGCAGGUAAGUCAGUGGUGAAAUCUCCGAGCUUAACUCGGAAACUGCCGUUGAUACUACUUGUCUUGAAUAUUGUGGAGGUAAGCGGAAUAUGUCAUGUAGCGGUGAAAUGCUUAGAUAUGACAUAGAACACCAAUUGCGAAGGCAGCUUACUACACAAUCAUUGACGCUGAGGCACGAAAGCGUGGGGAUCAAACAGG